UNUGAAGUUAAAGGCUGUGGCUUAACCAUAGUACGCUUUGGAAACUGUUUAACUNGAGUGCAGAAGGGGAGAGUGGAAUUCCAUGUGUAGCGGUGAAAUGCGUAGAUAUAUGGAGGAACACCGGUGGCGAAAGCGGCUCUCUGGUCUGUAACUGACGCUGAGGCUCGAAAGCGUGGGGAGCGAACAGGAUUAGAUACCCUGGUAGUNCACGCCGUAAACGAUGAGUGCUAGGUGUUAGGCCCUUUCCGGGGCUUAGUGCCGCAGCUAACGCAUUAAGCACUCCGCCUGGGGAGUACGACCGCAAGGUUGAAACUCAAAGGAAUUGACGGGGGCCCGCACAAGCGGUGGAGCAUGUGGUUUAAUUCGAAGCAACGCGAAGAACCUUACCAGGUCUUGACAUCCCGAUGCCCGCUCUAGAGAUAGAGUUUUACUUCGGUACAUCGGUGACAGGUGGUGCAUGGUUGUCGUCAGCUCGUGUCGUGAGAUGUUGGGUUAAGUCCCGCAACGAGCGCAACCCUUAUUGUUAGUUGCCAUCAUUCAGUUGGGCACUCUAGCGAGACUGCCGGUAAUAAACCGGAGGAAGGUGGGGAUGACGUCAAAUCAUCAUGCCCCUUAUGACCUGGGCUACACACGUGCUACAAUGGCUGGUACAACGAGUCGCAAGUCGGUGACGGCAAGCUAAUCUCUUAAAGCCAGUCUCAGUUCGGAUUGUAGGCUGCAACUCGCCUACAUGAAGUCGGAAUCGCUAGUAAUCGCGGAUCAGCACGCCGCGGUGAAUACGUUCCCGGGCCUUGUACACACCGCCCGUCACACCACGAGAGUUUGUAACACCCGAAGUCGGUGAGGUAACCUUUUAGGAGCCAGCCGCCUAAGGUGGGAUAGAUG
rnacentral:rRNA from 1 species